UUUCAUUCUAUUUUUUUUUGUUUUAUUUUAAAGCACUUUGAAUAACCACUGUGUCUGAUACUGUGCUUUACAAAUCAUUUUUACUUUUACUUUGACUUUCACCACCUUAGCCCUGGUAACCCCUUCACUACCACACUGUUAACCCCUUCACUAGCACAACGUUAGCACUGUUAACCCCUUCACUAGCACCACGUUAGCACUGUUAACCCCUUCACUAGCACAACGUUAGCCCUGUUAACCCCUUCACUAGCACCACGUUAGCACUGUUAACCCCUUCACUAGCACAACGUUAGCCCUGUUAACCCCUUCACUAGCACCACGUUAGCACUGUUAACCCCUUCACUAGCACAACGUUAGCACUGUUAACCCCUUCAUUAGCACCAUGUUAGCCCUGUUAACCCCUUCACUAGCACCACGUUAGCACUGUUAACCCCUUCACUAGCACAACGUUAGCACUGUUAACCCCUUCACUAUCACCACGUUAGCACUGUUAACCCCUUCACUAGCACCACUUUAGCACUGUUAACCCCUUCACUACCACCUGGUCAGAGGAUCUCAUUACUCAUUCAUUGUGUGUAUGCUUGCGUGUGCGUGUGUGAGAGAGAGAGAGAGAGAGUGUGUGUGUGUGCGUGUUUGUGUGUAUGCGUGUGCAUGUGCGUGUGUGUGUGUGUGUUGUGUAUGAGUGUGUGUGUGUGUUGUGUUGUGAUGUGUUGUGUUUGUGCGUGUGCAAGUGCGUGCGUGUUACGAACCCUCAUUUAUAUUAAGUUGGUAUUCAUUUUUGGCACCCCCUGCUGGGGCAGGUAUUUCUGUUUCCCCCUUUCUCCCUGUGGUCGCAGGCUAACGAGUGAUUGCAGGCACCUGAUACCUCCCUACUUAAGGAGAUCCACCUGCGGUAGCGCGCUCUCUCUCUUCCACCUCCUGAAACCCAAAGGAUCGUGCAACCGGCUCCUGGCUUCGCCACCGUCUUUCGUGGUUUCAUCACUAUCAUCCCCUGCGUUGGGAUCAUGAUGAUCUGGACCAGCCCCACCACGAUGAUGAGGCCCAGAGCGAGGAGCUUCGCCACGGUGAAGACGUCCUGGAUCCGGGUGGCCCAACGAACGCUGGAGCAGUUCACCCAGGAGUCUGCUGGAAGAUCACCCACCCAACCAGGCCGCCGAAGAUCUCGGUGACGUAGGAGUAGUCUCCUCCAGACUUGGGGAUGGUGACGCCCAGCUCGGCAUAGCACAUGGAGCCCAGGGCGCAGAUCCCUCCGCCCAGCACCCACACGAUGAGGGACAGGCCCACG